GAAGAAGUGUGAAGAAAGAAGAGUAGUUUUCGAUUGAAACAAUGGUAUAUGUCAGGAAGUUUGCAACGUCGCAAUCUGAGAUACGCGUUUUUGCAGUUUCAACGUCGAUAUUCUGCUAGAAAUACUUUCAAAUUAUUUAAAUUCUAUUCACUCCGUACCUCCUUUUUUAUGAAUGCUCCAAAAAAUACAAGAAUUCCUGCCAUUAUUUAGUGUUAUUAUAUUUUGUAGGCCAAUAUGGCAUCUUGUAAAAUUAUACUGGUGCUGAAUAAAUAAAUAAAUAAAUAAAAAAAUUACAAAAAAUAUACAAAUACACGACACGAAUUUCUCACAAUUUCCAGAGGCUCUGCGAUUGUUCAGUCCUCCUUUGGGAACAUCAGAGUUUUUCACAGAACAUAUCCAGUGGGUUGAGCAUGCCCCUGAAACUGCUCACAAUGUUUGCCCACGUGCCAUGAGAGCACCUACGACGUGGAUACAGACUUCUCGCGUGACACUCAGCCCUUGGCCCAGAAGACGGAUGGCUACGUGGACGUAUUCUACAAAAAUGAAGGCGCCGUCAAGUAUCAAAGAGACGUUACCUUUGGUUGGUCCGACCUGCUGGUUUCAUUCGGAGGUAUUGCGGGACUAUUCCUCGGGUUCAGUGUAUUGUCCUUAGUGGAGCUGUUUUACUGGUUGGAAAAAUCAUCUCAUUCUACGCUUCAGAAUCCAAAGCCAAAACAAAAGACAAUCUGCAGAGGAAAAUUGCGAACAAAACUCCCUCGGAAAGUUCAUCCUGCACAUUUGAUACACUUCCCUCAUAUUAAAAAGCUCUAUUAGGUAUGUUCCACCAUAAUUGAGAUUCAGAUAGUUUUUGACCCGUUAUACUUUGACCUUGUUCCUAUGUUUUGAUUGGGUUCAUAAAAUUAGAGAGCUUUAGCAGCAGGUUAUCAGUCUCUAUAUUACAAUGUUUCCUCUCUUAUUAAUACAAAAUCAAUAACAGAAACUGAACUUAUGUAUUUAUUGACAAACUUUCUUGGUUCAGACAAUGAAACUUUGUAGUCAUUAAAACUAAAUUUUCUUUAGUUGAACUGAAUUUCAGUCUCCACGAGCAUAACUUUCGAUAAACUGAUCCAAAAAAUUUCGGUGUUCAAUACGAACCAAAGUUUUUAUUAUCCUUAUAGCGCUGUUACAAAGAAUAUCAAACAAUCACCAUAAUGUGAUUUUGACAUGCUAAUCUAAGUUCAGACCUAUCAAGAGUUUUUUGCGUAAAGGCAACAUUUUGAAACAAGUGUGAUUCAUGAACGCAGAUAUGUUCGUUUACUUUAAAAAGUGUGCUCUACUGCUUACUUCUACCUGCUUGACUUCUUUAAUUUUUCUCUUAGAAAACUGAUUACUCCCUUCAACAUUUUAUCAGCUUGAUUAGCUGAUAAAACUGUUUUAGGAAGCAGUUUUUCAACAAAAACGUUGAGACAAAUCUUACCAUAUGGCUACAUUUCCUCUUCCCACGUCUUACCCAAACAAAUGGAGACAGACAAAUAACUACAGUAACUGGUUUUAUUUCUCUUUAAUUUAUAGCAGAGUAUUUACAGUAAUUAUUAAAGCAAUUAGGAGUAUACAUUGAUAUUUAAAAAAAAGAAUUCAUAGAACUCAAGGCUAUUUUCGCACAGGAAUUAAAUAUAACGAACAAAUGUAAAAUUAUGAAAUUCAGGUGAUAAAAUAAAGUUAAAAUAUGAAAGCAGGUGGAUAAAAGUUCAUUUAACAUAGGAAUUCUGCAGAAGACAUCCAAAAGUCACUCCAUCUGAGUUGACUCACGAAUAUGAGAAUAGAAAUUUAAUAUUUUGAUGUUUACCUUAUGAAAUAAUCUAUCUUUUUUUCUUUUUUGGUCCAUUCUCACAAUUUCAGAUGCGUUUAAGAUGAUGUAACCGAUAAUGAUAUGAUAAAAACGAAAGAUGCUGUUCAAAAUGGGAAGUCUCUGCAUUUUCUAGGUUCCGAGUAGGCAGCGGCGAUUCUUGAAAGUUCGCAACGCUGUUUUUUUCCUCCAUUUAAUAUAUCGAUAUUUUUAGUGGAUUUAAAUGGAGGAAUAAUUAAAUAUAUCGAAAUCUAAUAUAUUCAAAUUGUAAUACAUCGAUAUUUUUAGUGGAUUUAAAUGGAGGAAAAACAGUAUUGCCAACUUGCAAAAUCGCCGCUGCAAGGAAGGAUGCAACUACAUUUUAUUGACGCGCCAUUUCCAC
rnacentral:lncRNA from 1 species